rnacentral:rRNA from 1 species
ACGAACGCUGGCGGCGUGCUUAACCCAUGCAAGUCGAACGGGCCCGCCCCUGUUUUUGGGGGUGGGUUGAGUGGCGAACGGGUGUGUAUCACGUGAGUAACCUGCCCCCUGCUCCUGGAUAACUGCUUGAAAGGGCGGCUAAUACGGGGUGUGCCGGCUGGUCCGCAUGGGCCUGGUCGGGAUAGUUUCAUCUUCGGGUGUUUCGGUGGGGGAUGGGCUCGCGGCCUAUCAGCUUGUUGGUGGGGUGAUGGCCCACCAAGGCGGUGACGGGUAGCCGGCCUGAGAGGGUGGGCGGCCUCGCUGGGACUGAGGCCCGGCCCAGACUCCUGCGGGAGGCAGCAGUGGGGGGUAUUGCACAAUGGGCGGAAGCCUGAUGCAGCGACGUCGCGUGAGGGAUGGAGGCCUUCGGGUUGUGAACCUCUUUCUCCGGUGGUGAAGGCCCUGUCCGUUGCGGCGGGGUUGACGGUAGCCGGGUAUGAAGCGCCGGCUAACUACGUG